UUAAGUUCAGCGGGUAAUCCUACCUGAUUUGACAACAACUUGCAAGAUUGUGAUUUCCGCAAAGGAAGGAUUCUGCUCAUGACAGUCCGAUGAAACAUAUUCUAUCACAUCAGAGCUGGAUCAUAAGUAGACUCACAUGACUGAUUUCAAGAGACUUUGAAUGAAAACUCAAAGAGACCUCCCAGUUGUCGGUCCAGCUA
rnacentral:misc_RNA from 1 species